rnacentral:rRNA from 1 species
GACGAACGCUGGCGGCGUGCUUAACACAUGCAAGUCGAACGAGGCCCCGCCUUCGGGCGGUGUUCUAGUGGCGAACGGGUGAGUAACACGUGGGCAACCUGCCCCCGGCUCCGGGAUAACCCCAAGAAAUUGGGGCUAAUACCGGAUAUUCACCGCUGACCGCAUGGUCGGUGGUGGAAAGGUUUUCCGGGUGGGGAUGGGUCCGCGGCCUAUCAGCUUGUUGGUGGGGUAGUGGCCUACCAAGGCGACGACGGGUAGCCGGCCUGAGAGGGGGACCGGCCACACUGGGACUGAGACACGGCCCAGACUCCUACGGGAGGCAGCAGUGGGGAAUAUUGCGCAAUGGGCGAAAGCCUGACGCAGCGACGCCGCGUGGGGGAUGACGGCCUUCGGGUUGUAAACCUCUUUCAGCAGGGACGAAGCGCAAGUGACGGUACCUGCAGAAGAAGCACCGGCCAACUACGUGCCAGCCGCCGCCGUAA